AUAUAUCAUAUUCGUGGUUGUUUUUUUCUGAUCAAAACAUAUAUUUAUUUUGCGUUACAAAAAUAUUGCAUGCACAAGAUUCUAUCCUGAUUAACUGGCGGCCUACUAGUGAUUUUCGUUCGGUGACGCACAAAUCAAACAAAGAAAAUUUUCGUCAAGCUACAAAGAAAUACACACACAUACAUAUAUACAUAUACAAUAUCAAACAACAAACGUCAAAGGCGCGACUGGCCCGAAAGUAAUUCUAUAAAGUACACACACAUUAUGUUCAAUAGAUAUGGGAGGAUUCCUGGAUAAGCCGAAAACAGCAAAGCAUAAUGAACAAGGCGAAGGCAAUAAGCUGCUCUUUGGCGUCAGCUCGAUGCAGGGCUGGCGCUGUGAGAUGGAGGACGCGUAUUAUGCUCAAGCCCGUCUAGGCAAUGCAUUGGAGGAGUGGAGCUUUUUUGCGGUAUUUGAUGGCCAUGCGGGCUGCAAGGUAUCGGAGCACUGUGCCAAGCAUUUGCUAGACAGUAUCAUUACGACAGAGGAGUUCAAGAACGGCGACCAUGUGAAGGGUAUACGUACCGGUUUCCUGCGCAUUGACGAGGUGAUGCGACAACUGCCGGAGUUUACCCAAGAGGAAGAGAAGUGCGGCGGCACUACGGCUGUCUGUGCAUUCAUCAGCUCAACGCAGGUGUAUAUAGCCAAUUGCGGGGAUUCGCGUGCGGUGUUGUGUCGUCAGGGCGUUCCGGUGUUUGCCACCCAGGAUCACAAGCCUAUUUUGCCGGAGGAAAAGGAGCGUAUUCACAAUGCUGGCGGCAGUGUAAUGAUAAAACGUGUCAAUGGAACACUGGCCGUGUCGCGUGCUCUUGGCGACUAUGACUUUAAGAAUGUGAAGGAGAAAGGGCAGUGCGAGCAGUUGGUCUCACCGGAACCGGAAAUCUUUUGCCAAAGCCGCCAGGACACCGACGAGUUCUUAGUACUCGCCUGUGACGGCAUCUGGGAUGUCAUGAGCAACGAGGAUGUAUGCAGUUUCAUAUACUCGAGGCUGAAAGUGACCACAGACCUGGUGAAUAUUGCCAAUCAGGUGGUCGACACCUGUUUGCACAAGGGUAGUCGUGAUAACAUGAGCAUCAUAAUAAUUGCUUUCCCCGGAGCACCAAAGCCAACUGAAGAAGCGAAAGAGGCUGAGCGACGGUUGGAGAAACAAAUUGAGAAGAUCGCAAGAGAGGAGAUCGAGAGUAAUCAGAUCACAGAUUAUGUGGAGCUAUUAAAGUGUCUACAAGACAAAGGUGACAUUCUAGGUCUUCCACCCGGCGGCGGAUUGCAGUCCAAAUAUCACGUUAUCGAGCGCACAUUCAAGGAGGUUUUUCCAGAUAGUCCAUGUGAACUGUAUGCAUAUGAUGAGCUAUGAAUUUUUUAAUGCUAAAUAUUGUUCAUUUCUAAAUCAACAACAACAACCAAAACAACCAACCAACCAACAAGAGAACAAAUGAAACUAAAACCUUAAAAUCCGUAUGCUCUAACUAGUCCAACGCAUUAAAUUGCAAAACAAACAGUCAAC